AGAAAUAUAGUUUAUAUUAAAACAUUAAGUUGCAAACUUAAGGAAAUCCUUUUGGUUUAUUUUUU
rnacentral:tRNA from 1 species